rnacentral:tRNA from 1 species
CGACCCCGCCAGGAUUCGAACCUGGAAUCUUCUGAUCCGUAGUCAGACGCCUUAUCAAUCGCGUCACAGGGUG